rnacentral:rRNA from 1 species
AUUGAACGCUGGCGGAAUGCUUUACACAUGCAAGUCGAACGGCAGCACGGGGCAACCUGGUGGCGAGUGGCGAACGGGUGAGUAAUACAUCGGAACGUGCCCAAUCGUGGGGGAUAACGUAGCGAAAGUUACGCUAAUACCGCAUACGAUCUACGGAUGAAAGCGGGGGAUCGCAAGACCUCGCGCGAAUGGAGCGGCCGAUGUCAGAUUAGGUAGUUGGUGGGGUAAAGGCUCACCAAGCCGACGAUCUGUAGCUGGUCUGAGAGGACGACCAGCCACACUGGGACUGAGACACGGCCCAGACUCCUACGGGAGGCAGCAGUGGGGAAUUUUGGACAAUGGGCGCAAGCCUGAUCCAGCCAUUCCGCGUGCAGGAUGAAGGCCUUCGGGUUGUAACUGCUUUGUACGGACGAAACGGUUCUCUCUAAUACAGGGGCGUAAUGACGGUACCGUAAGAAUAAGCACCGGCUAACUACGUGCCAGCAGCCGCGGUAAGAGUAGUA